CUACAAUACCCAGAAGUCUCUAGGAGUUGCCGAGCCCUCUAGUUUAGGGUUGUUUUGCAGCCGGCGAGACGCCGGAAGUCUGGGAAUAAGGCGGGACCAGGGAAAAAGCAGGAUUCCGAUUGGUGGAGAGGCCACACGGCCUUCUUUAAAGGACGGGGUAGAGUUGCGCACGCGCAUUGAGGCAUCUCUGUCCUCGUUCUGCGUGCGUGAAGUGUGGGGAUUCCCGAGCCUCGGUCACCCGGUCGGUGUCGCAUGUCGCCUGCGGGGAGGUUGGGGCUGCUCGCGCGAGGCGCUCUGGGCCUCACUUCCGAGGCCGAAAAUGCUGGCUCCAAAGUGGUGCCCUGGGAGAUGAGGGCGACUCCCAGUUUCCACCAUGUUUCUGAAUGGGCUUCCAGUCUCCAUGGUAACGGCCCCUCCCAGUUCCCCUGUGACUUCAUAGCUGCCCACGGGAGGGGAGAAAGCUGAUUUGAAGGGGCCGUGGGUUCUGAGGCAACCUCUCUGUCUUUGAGGCCACCUACCCUAUACCACUCGUCCUUGAGAGGGUGAGCCGGUGACCUUUCACCCUCUCUGGGCCUCGGUUUCCCUUUUUGUGAAAUAAUGUCUGGUGCCCCUGCUGUGCUCUCUUACUAUUUCAGGGCCUCAGGCAAGAGACACCCUCUGUGUCUCAGUUUCCCCGUAGGUGAAGUGAGGAUGGUGCCCUCUGUCUCAGUUUUUCCAUAGGUGAAGUGAGGAUGAUGCCCUGUGUCUCAGUUUCCCCAUAGGUGAAGUGAGGAUGAUGUUAGAAUUUGAUGUUAAAAUGUAGGGAGUUGUGAGAAUUAAGGGAACCUCAGAGCGAUGGCCGGCACACAAUGACCCUUCAAGUGCCAGCGGCUUUGAUGAUCACCAUUCUUGCCUUUUCUUUGGAGACCGGGAGAAAUUACCGCCCCACCUUCCUCCAGGGUCUUUGUGUGUUGAUCUGCAAGUUGGAUGUAUUGGAUUUUAUGACCACUAAACUGUCUUCUGAGCACACAAGAGCAGUGGUUUUGAUCUCUGAGAAGUACUACAGGGCUUGGUGUUAAGACACUGGAAUUCCGGAAACCCGUCCCUGUCAUACCAGUUGCUGUGUGACCUCCGUCAAUCGUGGUUCUUUACCGAGCCCUGAGAUUCCGCAAGUGAAAAUGGAUGGGGAUGAACUUCCCGUCCAGGCACUGCCACUGACUUCGCUUGGGGACCUGGGAUGAAGGAGGAUCACAUAGCACUUGGGAGCAAAGAUGCAGCCAAGUAACCUAGCGCUGGAGCCCACGAUGGAGAAGAUCUCACGGCCACUCUGGCCUUGCCCUGGGUGCUGUAGUAACUUGGGAGGAAGGCCACCCAGACACCGCAGGACACCAGCAUGCUGAAGUCGUGAAGGGCCCUCGUGGCUGGGCCUCAUGCCAAACAACUCCUUACAAAAAGAGCCAGGGUCCCAGACUGUGCUGAAGCUUCAUGAGACCUCUCCUGGUCUGUGCAUGGACGAGUGGCCGACUCUGGAGCCCAGGCUGUUGCUUCCCGGUGUGGUGGUGAAUCCUCCAUAGUCUGGCGCAGCGUUCUCUCAACACCUCCAACGGGCACAAAGCCACGCCCCCAACGCCGAGCUCACGCACGCGUACUCAAUCACCAGCGGAACCGCCUCCACCGCGCUCGGCGUCGAGGGCCUACGGGACGACAGUACGCAUGCGUACUUUGUGCCCCAGGUAGCUUGUCUCUUAGCCAAGGACGCCUCUGUAGUCCAGUCUCUGGGAGCGGGGGCGUGAGGCUGCACAUGCGCACUGCGAGUCCUCGCCUACUCCCAGAAACCACUCGGCACACGCGGUGCGGCAGCUGCUUCAGGUUGGCGGGCUCCAAGGACACGUGAGUGGGCAGCGUCGCCGUUUCUCUUUUGUUGGACGGUAUUUUCCCAGCGCCACGCGGAGCCUGGGCCAUUAUGAGCUCUGCAUUUCCAGGACCCGGUCGCUGUUCAGGACACUGUUCCAGCGCAGUGGUCAUUAGCCAUGUCUCAGGGAUCAGUGACAUUCCAAGAUGUGGCCAUUGACUUCUCCAAGGAAGAGUGGAGAUUCCUGAACCCUGCUCAGAGAGAUUUGUACACAACUGUGAUGUUGGAGAAUUAUCAGAACCUGGUCUGGCUGGGACUUUCCAUUUCUAAAUCUGUGAUUUCACUGUUGGAGAAAAGGAAACUGCCUUGGAUAAUGGGGAAAGAAGAGAUAAGAGUCCCAUUGCCAGGUGAGUAUGAAGAACCAACUAGCGGGGGUAAGCCAUGUAUAUGAAAGGCAUACCAGUUCUAGAGGGCAAAGCACCUUUAAGAUGUGAAGGAUGCUGUCUUCCACUGUUCCAUACACAUGUAGACAUUGAGGCUUCUUGAGUUUGAGUUCCUAAAAGGAUACUGAUCACCCACCAUUUAUAUCUACUUUUAUAAAUGCCUGUGGGCUCAGAAAUUACAGGUGUGUCUUUCCUCUUUGUCUAUGGUAAGCUUCUUUUUAAACUCAGUAUCCUGUUUCUCCAACUUUUUUUUUAUUUGAUUCUUUGAUACUGUUGUUUUCUUUACUGUAAAAUGACUUAUAUAGUGGUCUGAUUGUUUGAAUGGGUAUAUUCAUUGGUCAUUUAUUCAUUAACAUUCAUUCCUUUUUUAAAACUAAUCAACUGUUGAGAGUCCCCAAGACCACCUCCAGGUUCAAGGACUUACUAGGAGUAGUCACAGGAGUCAUGAUAUUGUUGUAUUCAUGCCUGCAAAGUUAGUGAAUAGUCUAGAAGAACACCAUCAUUCUGAUGCCAGCUGAAAAGUAUGGGGAUCCCCAAGACCACCCUGAAUUCUGACAUGAAUUGCAAAUCCAAAGGUCCCCAAGAUAAUUAGGUUUGAUAAUUCACGAGGACUCACAGAACUUACUGAACUCACUGAAAGCUGUUAUACUCAUGGUUACAGUUUAUUACCAUGAAAGGAUACACGUUAAAAUCAGCCAAGGAAAAAGACAUGGGCAGAGUCUAGGAGGACUUCCAUUUAUGCCCCUACAGUGGAGUCAUGGACAGUGUUAACUCCUCCCAACAAUGAUGUGUGGCAAUAUGCACAGUGUUUGACCAACCAAGGAAGUCUACCUGACCCUUGGUAUCCAGACUCCUCAUUAAGGCACCAUCAUGUAGACAUGGCUGACUGCUCAUGUCUCACCUCAGGCUCUAGCCCUUCUGGAGGUCGCCCUAAUAUCAUGUGACCUGGAGCCCCACAUAAAUCACAUAAUUUGACUCUCUGGUGUGGUCCAACGCCCAUAGGCAAAUAGAGACACUUUUAUCAUGCUGGAUAUUUCAAGGUGUCAGAGAUUACCUCCCAGGAGCUAAGGGCAAAGACUAGACCUCUCUUUGGAAAAGGUUAAAUUCUUGACUGCACAAUGGCUAAGUUUUAGCAAAAGAUAUAAAGCAAAAUCAGCAAAGGUAAGCUCAUAAGGCAAGGUCUGGAGGAAAUCAGGAAUGUGCUUUUGAGAUUCCUCUCCCAGUGGAGUCACAAAGGAGGUACUUAAUUCCUCUAGCAGCAACUUGUGUGGUAUGUGUGAGAUGAUAGCAGCUAGAUAACAUUAGACUUAGUGCCAAGGAAUUUUACUUAGGGAAGCCAUAAAGGUACCCUCUGCCUAGUGUAUGCUGAAAAUCCAGACUCUCAAAACGAAAGUAGGUGUUCUGCAUAAACCACAUAAUCUGCACAAAUAGUUUAGGUGUGGUAAGUCGCUUGUACCAGUUCCCGGGAAUGGUAGAAACCCUCUUGAAACCCAAGUUCCUUAGAGGUCAAUCGGGCCAACCUUGGAAGCACACCUUUCUUAGGAGAACAGUCUCAAAGCCUGCUGUGUUCUUUUCUGAGUUUGUUUAAAAGUAUAGAAACUUGCAGUGAGUUUACAUUUGAGUGAGGGGAUUAAGACUUGCUUCCACAAACCUUGUGCAAAGUAGAAACUAAUUAACUGGUAGAAACUGAUUAAAACGGGUUAUUUUGGUGUGUGGGAGUUAGUAGAGUUUUAGCUUCAAAACUUGGUGAUAUUUAAAGUUACAGAAAGUGAGGAAAUGAAGUACACAUUUUUGCUAUAUUUAUUUAGGGAAUUGUUAGAAUUAAGAUAUGUCUUGAACUGUACAUUAGAAAUAUGUAACUGGAUCUCAAUAGUAAUUCAGAAUUGGAGAUGAACGUGUUUUCUAUAUGUUUUGUGGUGAUGGACCCUUAGGAAUGGAAGAAGUGAAUUGCCUAUGGAUAGCAGAGAAGGACUGAUUGAUUGGUAGCAGGAGAAACAGAAAACAUCCUGUGUUAGAAUUCCAGGGCCUCACUGUUCAUGAAGAAAAGAUACACCAGGUGCAGAGAUUAAGGAGUUAUCUGCAAAGAGGGCUAUUAAUGAAGUAUUAUCUCAGUUUGACACAGUGAUAAAAUGUAC